ensembl:lncRNA
GUCGAUGCGGGGAGAUUGAGCCGAGCUCCACUAGAGACUCUCCACCAGCAGGCUGCUAUUGACACACUGCACACACACACAAACAGAGCAGCGGCCCGCAGGAGACUCUUCACAGGCAAGAUGCUAUCGACGUUUUCUCGACUCGGCCGACACAACUGCUCACUGUAUGACAAGGCUGAGACCGGCCCGAGUCCCCAGAGAGCUGCGCUGACACGACACGGUGACCCGCGCGUUAGUUUUUCUUUACUUUCAGCGCGCUCAUCCAGGUUUUUCCCACCCUAACGCGCUCCACGGGGAGGCUGGCUCUUCCUCUGACUAGUGAUCAAGCCAGUUUAUUGGCAGGCCUGCUGAUGGACGCCAUGCUGGUGAAGAUGAAGGAGGCCAAAGUGCUGACAGAGGAACUGGCUUCACUUCCAGCUGCAGUCAGCACAAACGCCUGACCAGAGGAGAAAAAGAGACAGAAAGGGAGCGAGAGACUGUAAUACUGAUAUGUGUUGGCUGUAAAGCCCUGCGUGGCAGCGGAGGCCCUCGUCUCCAGCUGUUGGGGAGAUUACUAUUUCUUGAUUUGAUCUAGCGUUUUAGUUGAAUCUAAAUCAUCGUGCACUUGAUGUUUUGACCUGGCUUGCACAUGAAGAAUAUUUAAGACACAUUAGCAUGACACUAUAACUGGCCACAGCACGCUGAAUAAUCAACAUAGAGAAAUAAAA